rnacentral:rRNA from 1 species
UGGGGAAUCUUGCGCAAUGGACGAAAGUCUGACGCAGCGACGCCGCGUGGGUGAUGAAGGCCUUCGGGUUGUAAAGCCCUGUGGGGAGGGACGAAUAAGUUGCAGCUAAUACCUGCAGCGAUGACGGUACCUCCUUAGCAAGCACCGGCUAACUCUGUGCCAGCAGCCGCGGUAAGACAGAGGGUGCAAACGUUGUUCGGAAUUACUGGGCGUAAAGCGCGUGUAGGCGGCCAUGCAAGUCGGAUGUGAAAGCCCUCGGCUCAACCGGGGAAGUGCACCCGAAACUGCAAAGCUAGAGUCUCGGAGAGGAUCGUGGAAUUCUCGGUGUAGAGGUGAAAUUCGUAGAUAUCGAGAGGAACACCGGUGGCGAAGGCGGCAUCCUGGACCGGCAUUGACGCUGAGGAGCGAAAGCUAGGGGAGCAAA